CAGUCGCCGCGGUAAUACAGAGGGUGCGAGCGUUAAUCGGAUUUACUGGGCGUAAAGCGUGAGUAGGCGGCUUCUUAAGUCGGAUGUGAAAUCCCUGAGCUUAACUUAGGAAUUGCAUUCGAUACUGGGAAGCUAGAGUAUGGGAGAGGAUGGUAGAAUUCCAGGUGUAGCGGUGAAAUGCGUAGAGAUCUGGAGGAAUACCGAUGGCGAAGGCAGCCAUCUGGCCUAAUACUGACGCUGAGGUACGAAAGCAUGGGGAGCAAACAGGAUUAGAUACCCCCGUAGUCCCUGUCUCUUAUAC
rnacentral:rRNA from 1 species